rnacentral:rRNA from 1 species
UACGGAAGGCAGCAGUGGGGAAUAUUGCACAAUGGGCGCAAGCCUGAUGCAGCCAUGCCGCGUGUAUGAAAAAGGCCUUCGGGUUGUAAAGUACUUUCAGUCGUGAGGAAGGUGUUAAGGUUAAUAACCUUAGCAAUUGACGUUAGCGACAGAAGAAGCACCGGCUAACUCCGUGCCAGCAGCCGCGGUAAUACGGAGGGUGCGAGCGUUAAUCGGAAUUACUGGGCGUAAAGGGCACGCAGGCGGUUAAUUAAGUUGGAUGUGAAAUCCCCGGGCUUAACCUGGGAAUGGCAUUCAAGACUGGUUAGCUAGAGUCUUGUAGAGGGGGUUAGAAGUUCCAUGUGUAGCGGUAAAAUGCGUAGAGAUGUGGAGGAAUACCGGUGGCGAAGGCGGCCCCUGGACAAGACUGACGCUCAUGUGCGAAAGCGUGGGGAGCAAAC